AGGACUCCUGGGAUUACUCCAAAAGCAAGCAGAACUUCUAGUGGAGAGAUCCAAGCUCCCAAAUAGGUGAAACAGCUAUCCUGAAAGAAUAAGGACAAAAGCCUGAAGCUAAGGCUGGUGAAACAGGAAGCUACAAGGAACCGGAGUCCUUGAUAACUAUCUGGAGAGGUUACACCUGCUUUGGCCUGUCCACCUCCUGAUUCCUUGCUUUACCCUGGAAGAUUCAAAGAAUUGAUGCCGACCACAGUGGCCAGUGGAAGACUUGAGAAGAAAAUUUAUGUCUUCUGAAUAUAAGCCAGAUGCUCUUUGCCCUGAAUACCCAUUUUUGGAGUAGGAAAAUCAAAUGCUCUGAGCUGUCCUGAAGUUCGGGGGAAUCAAUUCCAUGCAAGACUGCAUAAUUUUACCACAUGUGUAUGCCGGAAUUAAUGUAUAGUAUUAUUUGGUUUUUAAGUUUCAUUUAUUCUAUAUCAUAUGUACAUAUAUUUUAGUAAUUUACUUUUUACAUAGAAUAUUUUGUUUUACAAGUCUAUUCAUAUUGAUAUAUGCAUACUGAUGCAAGCAUUUCAUUUUAACUGUCAAAUAGCAAUAAUCUACAGUUAACUUAUCCAUUCCCUGACUAGUGGACAGUUCGGUUGUUUCUCAAUUUUUACUACACCCAGCAAUGCUGUAAAGAAUAUCUGUGUACACAUAUGCAAGUGUUUCACUAAAAUAUAUGACUGCACUUUACAGUAGAAUUGCUGUGCUCUUUUGUGCAUUUUUACAAAAAGCCCUGUAGGAAUUUCUAUUGGAAUGGCAUUACAUUUUUAAAUAAAUUUGGCCUUUCUGCUUUGUAUCACUGUUCUCAAACUUAGUUGCAUAAGAAUUACCUAGUUAGGGACUUCCCUGGUGGUCCAGUGACUAAGACUCCUCGCUCCCAAUAGAGCGGGCCCAGGUUCAAUCCCUGGUCAGGAAACUAGAUCCCACAUGCUGCAACUAAGAGUUCACAUGCCACAGCUGAAGAUCCUGCAUGCCGCAACAAAGAUCACACGUGCGGCAACUAAGACCUGGCUCAGCCAAAUAAAUAAAUAAAUUUUUUUUAAAGAAUUACCUGGUUAACUAUGUAAGGUGAUGGAUAUGUUAAUUAGCUUGUUGAGGUAACUAUUUCACAAUGUAGAUGUAUAUCAAAAUGUCAAGUCCAGGUCGUGCUCUUUAAAUAUAUACAAUUUUUAUUUGUCCAUUAUAACUCAAUAAAGAUGGAGAGAAAAAAGGAAUCACCUAGCAACAUUAUUAAAAUUCCUUCAAUCUUUUAUCACCCUACCCUGUAAAGAUAUUCAUAGGUCUAGGGUGGGAUUGAUAAAUUUUCAUUUUUUAAUAAGUACUCUCUCCUCAAAAUACUGAUGAGAAUUGACCCUGGUUUACAGAGAAAAACUUCUCUACAUAAAGUAUGCACCCAUGGUUGUGGUCUAUACCAAAUCUAUGAUUUUUUAAUCCCUUUACCACCAACACAUACCAUAAUUUUUUUAAAGCACAAUGGCCCUAUUAGCAUUUCACCUCUACCCCAUCCAAUCCUGAUUAGUAAAAAUAGGUUAAGCACCCACUUGUAAUUGAGAUUGGCACCCUGCACCAGAUUCUUUUAAAUAACCUUCUGGUAAUCUCCUCUGUUCUGACAUGCAGUGCUUUACUGAAUAGCAUCUAAACACCUAGGCACUGCCAAAAUUCAAUAUGUGUGUUUUUGCCUUUAUUUUUUUUUAAAUGUUGUUAUUUAUAACCUCAUCAUUCUGUUCCACAAGGAAAAUAAUAAAUCAUAAAGUAUUACUUAAUGUCAUUGUUUCAUGUUAUUAUACCAUAACUAUUUUUAACAGCUUUAUUGGGAUAUAAUUUAUACCAUAAAGUUCACCUGUUUAAAUGUGUUUAAGUAUACAAUUCAAUGGUAUUUAGCAUAUUUACAGAAUUGUGAAACCAUUACUAUAAUCUAAUUUUAAAACAUUUUCAUUGUUCC